GACAGAGGGUGCAAACGUUGUUCGGAAUUACUGGGCGUAAAGCGCGUGUAGGCUGCUCCGCAAGUCGGAUGUGAAAGCCCUGGGCUCAACCCAGGAAGUGCAUUCGAAACUGCAGAGCUGGAGUCCUGGAGAGGAAGGCGGAAUUCUCGGUGUAGAGGUGAAAUUCGUAGAUAUCGAGAGGAACACCGGUGGCGAAGGCGGCCUUCUGGACAGUGACUGACGCUGAGACGCGAAAGCGUGGGGAGCAAACAGG
rnacentral:rRNA from 1 species